AUGGAAAAAAUUAAUGACUUGAAUUAUACAGCCUGUGAAUCAAAGCCGACAAGAGGGGGAGCGAGGGGGAGACAGGAGGGUGAACUGUUCAUGCUGUCGUCAGCCGCUGGUCCUGAGAGGGACCUGAAAAGUGUCACCCUUCAUGCAGCUGUCACAGCCUUUAUCUUCACGGCAGGGCGGGGCGCUUUGGAUCACGAGCGUGGCACAGUUUCAGGAGUACGAAAGGAGUGCCCCCAGACAGACCUCCACGGCAAACCUCUGUUUUCGAGAACAAAUUCGAGCUUAAGAUUUCAGAAUGUUCGAGCCUGCUCCUUGGAUUCAUAGUAAAUCAGGAGGAGAAAGCAAAAAAAAAAAAAAGAAAAGGAAAAAGAAAAAGAAUGUCCCUGAGCUAGAUGUGCCUGAAACCUGUUCACGGAGGAAGGAGCCGGGAUCCUAGCAGGCUGUCGUGUCAUGGCAUACGGAGACUGUGUAGGGUCGAGGCCGAAGGCCCAGGGGCUGGUAGCCUCCACGCACACGGAGGGCUGGCUGCUGGGAUUGCACUAUGUCCCCUUUAUCAGUCAGCCAGACUCACAGUCUAUUUUGUCAUUUGUCCUAUGAGUUAGGUCUUACUACUCCUGAAUUACACGUGAGAAAAGAGAUGCGGGCACCUUGCAGUUGCUGGGGUCGGCCACCCAAACCCCAGCCUUGCAGACUCCACAGGCCCUUCUGCGCACACAGACCACGCUGCCCCACUCAGGCCCCCUGGAUGUGCUCUCUGACCGGGCCUCCCCUCCCUGAGGCUCAGGCUUUGGCUUCCCAGCCAUCUUGCUAUUUCUCCGUCUUUCUGUGGUUCCCUGUGCGUGAAUUGUAUCAUAGACAGUAGAAGCCAUGUUCCAGCACAGCCAUGGAGGAGCUUGUACAAGGUGAACGGAAGGUCAAUUUGGGGCCCUUUGCUGACUGUCACCUCCAAAGGAGGGCUGGGUUUGGGGAAAGGAUUCUGGAGAGCACUAACCCCAGGGAGGUGAUGGAGGCCGAGGGUUCUACUCUUGUCUCUAAUCCAGUGAAAGAGACACCUAUGUCCACUUGGAGGCCUUGGGAUGUGCCCCUGACCGAGGACCAUGGGGACAUAUGAUGCAUACCCAAGAGAGCCAUGCUCUAGGAAGCAACUGUGUUCUCACCUGGUCUCACAUGGUCUCUCCAUGUGCCAUGGACCAUGGGUGGGCCAGGUGAGGCAAGUCCUGCUCUCUACUGUCACUUAUGUCCAUUCUGCAUUCAGGUGAAUGGAACGAGUUUGAGUUCACCAAGUACACUGGGCUCCCUCCUACAACACCUUGCCUCGCCCUGACUCGCAGCCAACGUGAAUCAGCCCUUCACUCCAGAGCUUAGAUGGCACUUGCCCUGCGACCCCAAAUUGCCAGGUCAGCUUUCCCUCUGGGGCUCACUGGGAUUCCAGAUGUCCAGGAACUCCUUAGGUGAAGAGCAGAGUCUAGUUCACACUUUCCUCCCACAAGACCUCUCUCCUUCUACAACAUCUACUCAGUGAAUGAAUGAAUGAAUGAAUGAGAACCUCAAGAUGCUCCUGAACAGGCUUAUUUGGGGCCAUCACACCCUAAGCGAACUGCAGGCUAGUGGUCCUUCUCAGCCCAGUUGACCCCCCGCCAUGUGAUGCGUGAGCCACAACAGACAGGGAGGAGGGCAGAGGGCCAUCCCCCACCAGCCCUGCCACAGACUGGGGGGCAGUCGUUUCAUGAGCGUUUCAGGGAUUGGGAAGUCAUUUAGAAGUGUGAUGUCACCAAUAGGGAGGAGACAAUAGUUGGUUUGCUCCCACGAACUCAUGGAAGAAAUUCCAUCCCGUCCCUGAAAUUUCAUUUCCUCGGGGGGACACGGGCGUCAUCGCAUGCCCUUGUCCCUCCCUGAUUUAUGACCAGGCAUAGUCAAAUGCAUGGAGGUACUGAUGAGGCAGUCCAGGCACACGAGGGGGCCAGGACUGUGACAAGGCUGCACCUGGGCUCGGGUAUGUUCGAAGGGUGCAGCGUGUGAAGGGCUGGGUGUUGUCAACCGUCCCCCUUAGCGACGGCAAGAGAUGGACUUACACCCGACUGGCUCUGGGGUUGGUGGGGGACGCCGAGAGACACAUUUCUGCCUUCGAGGGACUUACACUGAACUCGAGAUCGUUGAUAGCUCCUUAAGGGGCUGCUGUAUGAGCCGGAUGCUCGCUGCAACCUCCUAGCCCUUCGGGCCUCAGGAAGCUUUACCCAAAGCUCCAGGAGUCCACACAGGUCCAGAACCAUCUGCGGGGUUGGCGAGGGGUCCUGGGAGGAUCGCAGCCCCUCAGCAGCAGGUGGGCUCCUGCUCCAGCCCUGCCGGCCGGAGACCGUGGCCCCUUAACUGCCUCAGUGAGCCAGACUCGGGGGAUGCUGGAUGCCCCCCAGAUCCUAACUCUGAGAGCGCCGUGUGUGUGUGUGUGUGUGUGUGUGUGUGUGUGUGUUAGACCAUACAGGAGGUUUGGGAGGAAGGGGGCACAAAGGUGUUUCCAUGGCAAAGUUGCACGACUUAGAGUUGGCCUUUGAAUCA
rnacentral:lncRNA from 1 species